UGCAGCUGCGUCAAAUUCGCUCCUCGGCUGCCCGUGCUGGGGACCGGCCAAACAGCUGCCACAGCAACCACUGCAGCUCCUGAGCCCCACGUUCCCUUCACCCUGGGGCUAAGGAGAUGCUGCAGACAGAA
rfam:Colius striatus contig36788, whole genome shotgun sequence.